ACGGGAGGCGGCAGUCGGGAAUAUUGCGCAAUGGAGGAAACUCUGACGCAGUGACGCCGCGUAUAGGACGAAGGUCUUCGGAUUGUAAACUAUUGUCGUUAGGGAAGAUACAAGACAGUACCUAAGGAGGAAGCUCCGGCUAACUACGUGCCAGCAGCCGCGGUAAUACGUAGGGAGCAAGCGUUAUCCGGAUUUAUUGGGUGUAAAGGGUGCGUAGACGGAAAAUUAAGUUAGUUGUGAAAUCCCUCGGCUCAACUGAGGAACUGCAACUAAAACUGAUUUUCUUGAGUGUUGGAGAGGAAAGUGGAAUUCCUAGUGUAGCGGUGAAAUGCGUAGAUAUUAGGAGGAACACCGGUGGCGAAGGCGGCUUUCUGGACGACAACUGACGCUGAGGCGCGAAAGCGUGGGGAGCAAACAGGAUUAGAUACCCUGGUA
rnacentral:rRNA from 1 species